GCAGCUCUGCCUCUUCUUCAUCCUCUAUGUUUGCUCCCACAUCCUUAAGAUCAUCUAGAAUUGUUCGCUCAGCAGCAAGAUGAUCCUUGAGGUCGUCCCCUUCAGCUAUCACCAUGCUUCUGUGGAAAAAUGCGAUGGGAUGUUGAAGGGAUCUGGUAAGUCUGCUUCAUGGCCUCCCACGCUUCAUUUGCACUCUUGCACCGUCUAAUGCAAUGGAAUUCUCGCCCCUCAGCACUGUGUGAAAUUUGCC
rnacentral:lncRNA from 1 species